AUCCAGGUCUCUGAUGUGGGUGGCCGGAGCCCAAUUACUCAAGCCAUCAUCACUGCCUUCUACAGUGUGCACUGGCAGAAAGCUGCAAUCAGGAACUAGAGCUGAAAACAGAACCCAGACACUCCAAGCAAUUAGGAGUUUGAAGCUUGGGAAAGAUUUGACAGAUUCUUCAUCUUGAGGAAUGAUUUGAAGAGAGUCUUAGCCCAUUUGAGCAGGUGGGCAUUCGGUACAGCAGUAAAGACCUGAAUUUGGACACCUGCAUCUCAUAUCAGAGCAUUCAACUACAAAUCACCGUUCAACUUCCUGUUCUAGAUUUCUGCCCAAGUGCAUCCUGGGAGGCAACAGGUGGUAGCUCAGAUAGUUUGUUCCCUACCACUACGUGGGAGACCUGAAUUGAGUUCCCAGCUGUUCCCCGACAGCCCCACACAUGGUGUUCAUUGAGGACUGAACCAGAAGAUAGAAGGUUACUGUCUUUCUA
rnacentral:lncRNA from 1 species